AUGGAGAAUAAUCAGUCAGGUCAAGCUCAGGACGGCAUGGCCGAUCAAAGAUUUCGCAGCUGGCUAACAGAACAACUUAAUAUGCAGCAGCAGAAUGCCGGUUGUUCUUCCAACCCAGCACCAGCAGUAAUGCAGAUGCCAGCUCUGCCAUCUCACACAGAUUAUGGUGGCAUAUAUCCCAACCCAACUGAAUAUGAUGGCUACAACUGGAGGAUGUGUGGGCAGAAAUUAGUUCAGGGUGGGUGCCAUCAGAAAUUCUACUAUGAAUGUUCUCAAGCAAACUGCGGUGCCGAGAAAUCCGUGACGCGCUCCGCAGAUGGACAGAUCAAGAAAACAGUAUGUAAGGGCAGUCACAACCAUCCACGCUCAUCAGAAAGGGUGUUUGGAGAUGGUUCAGCUACUCUGGAUGCAAUCCUUGUAGGUGAGAUAUUACAAGCAGCAGGGGUUAUCAGGCCUUCAGUUGCAAUGCCUAGGAAUGAGGAGGAAGAUGGGCUACAAUCUGGUUCGAGUGACAGCGGGGAUGAUGAUGCUAGUGAAGCAAGAGCUGCUGGUGAUGACAAUGCAAUAAGACAUGUUCCUGCAGCUGCAGCUCAAGAUACCACCGCGCAUAACACAAUUGACGUUGAUGUUCUGGGUAACAGCUCUCAGCAGCGUAAGAAUUAUCACCGAAGUGAUGGGGUCGUUUUUGACAGCCUCACAACCACUCGACAGCUUCCUGUCGAGAAUGUAAACAUUGUAAAAAAUGCCUCAGUGGAAAAACUUCAGGAGGAACAAGCCAUCUGCGCCGACAUCUCAAGAUAUGUCCUGCACAAUUUAGAACGACUAGACUGCAGCAAGAAGGUCUCCAACCAUUGCUCAUAUUUAGUGCCAAGCAGUGCAAAUUUUAGGCAGUUUUUGGUUGCCAUCUGUCCUGAUUAUAAUAUGGUGCCGCAGGCUGCUUUUGAAGAGAAGUUCCUCAGCUUUUUUCAUAAUGAAAAGAUGAAGCUAAAAGAGAAAAUAGAACUUACACCUGGAGGAGUUUUCCUGUCGGUAACAAAGCAGUACGUCGAGUUUAAAACCUUCGAAAUUGAUAGUUCUCUAAUAAAAGAAGCAGUCCAAGAUUGGAAUCUUGAGCAUAAACUUUUAGGACUUGCAUUGCACAAGAAUUUCCGUAAUAAUGUUACAUCUGACUUGGAGGAGUGUAUGGCAGGAGAAGUACAGAAUUAUCUUCUUGCUAAAUAUAAGUUAUUAACUGUGCCUUGUAUGAUAGAUGCGCUUCACGACUUUUUUGGUUACGAUGUCGGAAAUUUUGUCAAGGAAAUAAGUAAGGAAUGGUUUGAGUACAUGACAUGCUCUGCACUUUGUCUGGAAAAAUACAAGGAGAUUCUUUCGCGGAUGCACCUAAACAAACCGUCUCUUGGUUCACAGAAAUGGCACUUGACUUUCUACUUAUUUGAGGCUGCUUUGCAGUUUAAUAAAGAGUUCCCAAACCCUGAAGAGAUGGACUCGCAAAUGGAUAUACGGAAACCGUCUCCUCAAAGACUAGAAGCAACGAAAAACUUUUGUGAUCUUGUAAGGCCAAUUUACCAUGCAAUUGAUCUACUUUCCAGACAAUACGUGACUUCCAACUCACAUUUUCAUGCACUUUGGAGGGUGGAAAUGGAGAACCAGUCAGGUCAAGCUCAGGACGGCAUGGCCGAUCAAAGAUUUCGCAGCUGGCUGACAGAACAAUUUAACACGCAGCCGUAUGCCGGCUCUUCUUCCAACUUAGCAGUAAUGCAGAUGCAGGUUCUGCCAUCUCACACAACUUCUCAGAUCAUAGACACACACCCACCUGAAUAUGAUGGCUACAACUGGAGAAUUUGUGGGCAGAAAGUAGUUCAGGGUGGGUGCCAUCAGAAAUUCUACUAUGAAUGUUCUCAAGCAAACUGCGGUGCCGAGAAAUCCGUGACACGCUCCGCAGAUGGACAGAUCAAGAAAACAGUAUGUAAGGGCAGUCACAACCAUCCACUCUCAUCAGAAAGGGUGUUUGGAGAAGGUUCAGCUACGCUGGAUGCAAUCCCUGUUGGUGAGAUAUUACAGGCAGCAGGGGUUAUCAGGCCUUCAGUUGCAAUGCCUAUGAAUGAGGAGGAAGAUGAGCUACAAUCUGGUUUGGGUGACAGCGAGGAAGAUGAUGCUAAUGAAGCAAGAGUUGAUGGUGACGGUGCUGCUGCUGAUGCCAAUGCAAUAGAAAGACAUGGUGCAGCUCAAGAUAUCACCGCUCAAACUGCAACUGAGGUUGAUGUUACGGGUAACGGCUGUCAGCAACGUAAGAAUUAUUGCCGAAGUGAAAAUAGAAGAUCAAAGUCCAAGGUAUGGAAGGAAUUUACAGCUGUGUUAAGUGUUGGAAAAAUUCAAAGUGCAGAAUGUAAGCAUUGUAAAAAGUGCCUUAGUGGAAAAAGUUCUGGAGGAACAAGCCACCUGCGUCGACAUCUAAAGAUAUGUCCUGGACAAUGCAGAGAUACUAGGAUACAGCAAAAAUGGUCAUCUUCAAGACUUGAUUCAUCUGAUGCAAAUAACUGGGAAUUUGAUCAGGAAACAUCUCUUGAGUUGCUUACAAGGGCUUUAGUCUCCAACCUUUGCCCGUUUUCAGUGACAACCAGUGCAAAUUUUAGGAAGUUUUUUGCUGGCAUCUGUCCUACAUAUAAUAUUACUAACAAGGCUCUAAUAAAAGCAGCAGUCCAAGAUUGGAAUCUUGAGAAGAAGCUUUUAGGAAUUGCAUUGCCAACGAAUAUAGGUAAUGAAGUUAUAUUGGAUUUGGAGGAGACUAUGACAGCAGCAGGACAGAAUUUCCUUCUUGCUAAAUAUAAGUUAUUAAUUGUGCCUUGUAUGAUAAACGCGCUUCAUGGCUUGUUUGGUUAUACUCUUGAAAGAUACGUCCUGGAAGCAAGUCGGGAAUGGUUUGAGUACAUGACAUGCUCAGCAAUUCGUCUGGAAAAAUACAAGGAAAUUUUGUUGCGCCUGCACCUAAGCCAACCAUCUUUUGGUUCACAGAAAUGGCAUUUGACUUACUACUUAUUUGAGGCUGCUUUGCAGUUUGUAAAAGAAUUCCCAAACCCUGACGCGGCGCAUUUGAAAAUGUUUCUACGGAAACCAUUUCCUGAAAGACUAGAAGCAACAAAAAACUUUUGUGAUCUUGCAAGGCCAAUUUACCAUGCAAUUGAUGUACUUUCCAGACAGAACGUGGCUUUCAACUCACAUUUUCAU
rnacentral:lncRNA from 1 species